rnacentral:rRNA from 1 species
AUUGAACGCUGGCGGCAGGCCUAACACAUGCAAGUCGAGCGGAUGAAGGGAGCUUGCUCCUGGAUUCAGCGGCGGACGGGUGAGUAAUGCCUAGGAAUCUGCCUGGCAGUGGGGGAUAACGUCCGGAAACGGGCGCUAAUACCGCAUACGUCCUGAGGGAGAAAGUGGGGGAUCUUCGGACCUGACGCUAUCAGAUUAGCCUAGGUCGGAUUAUCUAGUUGGUGGGGUAAAGGCCUACCAAGGCGACGAUCCGUAACUGGUCUGAGAGGAUGAUCAGUCACACUGGAACUGAGACACGGUCCAGACUCCUACGGGCGGCAGCGGUGGGGAAUAUUGGAAAAUGGGCGAAAGCCUGAUCCAGCCAUGCCGGGUGUGUGAAGAAGGUCUUCGGAUUGUAAAGCACUUUAAGUUGGGAGGAAGGGCAGUAAGUUAAUACCUUGCUGUUUUGACGUUACCAACAGAAUAAGCACCGGCUAACUUCGUG